rnacentral:pre_miRNA from 1 species
CUGGCCACCUGGCUCUGGGAACUGAGUUCCGUAGGCUGUGGGCUGCAACAGUGCCCUGGGCUCAGUUCCAGUGCCAGCUGUGCUGC